GACGAACGCUGGCGGCGUGCUUAACACAUGCAAGUCGAGCGGUAAGGCCCUUUCGGGGGUACACGAGCGGCGAACGGGUGAGUAACACGUGGGCGACCUGCCCUCAGCUCUGGGAUAAGCCUGGGAAACUGGGUCUAAUACCGGAUAUGACUCCAUGACGCAUGUUGUGGGGUGGAAAGCCUUGUGCGGCUGAGGAUGGGCCCGCGGCCUAUCAGCUUGUUGGUGGGGUGAUGGCCUACCAAGGCGACGACGGGUAGCCGGCCUGAGAGGGCGACCGGCCACACUGGGACUGAGACACGGCCCAGACUCCUACGGGAGGCAGCAGUGGGGAAUCUUGCGCAAUGGGCGAAAGCCUGACGCAGCGACGCCGCGUGAGGGAUGACGGCCUCGG
rnacentral:rRNA from 1 species